ACAGGGUUUCGUCAAGGGAUCUCUCGGCUCUCACAUCAAUCAACACCCCACCAAAAAGGUAUAGGUACUGGGAAUUGUAAAAAUCAUAGAAUAAUCCAAUCUUUGAAGUGACCUUGCGACCCUUGGGAUUCCUAGGGGCUCACCCCUUUGAUUGCCCCGA
rnacentral:rRNA from 1 species